UACAGAGGUCUCAAGCGUUGUUCGGAUUCAUUGGGCGUAAAGGGUGCGUAGGCGGCGCGGUAAGUCGGGUGUGAAAUCUCGGGGCUUAACUCCGAAACUGCAUUCGAUACUGCCGUGCUUGAGGACUGGAGAGGAGACUGGAGUUUACGGUGUAGCGGUGAAAUGCGUAGAUAUCGUAAGGAAGACCAGUGGCGAAGGCGGGUCUCUGGACAGUUCCUGACGCUGAGGCACGAAGGCCAGGGGAGCAAACGGG
rnacentral:rRNA from 1 species